GCCUCUCACUUCUGAGUAAGACAAAACAGGAAUUGGCUCGCUACAUCCUGUCACAAGGGUCUGUGGGGAGCAGGCAGGCAGGCAAAACUCACGUGAAACACUUCACUUUUCAACAGAAAAGAGGAAACACACAUCUGUUAAAACAUGGGAUCAGAACUCAAGUGUUUGUUGUAACCACUGCAGUGUUCUGUAACUGCUCCUUUGUGUUUGUUGGUUCCUUGAGUGCGCUCCACAUUUCUUGUGUAUAGUUAUAAAUACAACCACUCAGAUGGAAGAGUUUCCCAUCCCCUCUGCUUCAUCUUCUCCAGCCCUGUCGGUUGCAAGCCUGAACAGCAGAUGAUGUACGCUGUCAGCAAAGACAGAUUAAAAAUACCCAGGAAAUGCAAGACAUGGCUUGCAAUUAGAGAUUUCUUAUUUCCAUCCCUGAAUAAGUACAACUCAUAGAAAGGUGUUUGAGAUCAGGAACACAGAUGACUUGACGGAAGACUGGCUGAAAGAAAAACUGUCCUUUUUCGGCUAAUCAGAACAAUCAUAUUUUCACAACAGCAUCAUCUGGGUGGAUGGCUUUAUUUUUAAAACAAAUUCGAUUAACUAAGAAAAAUGGUACUGAGUUUUAAAUGUAAUCUUUAAUUACCUUCUGCUUCCUCUGUUGGCCCCACCUACUCGAUAACCCUAAAAUCUAUGAUACGAUACAUUCUCUUUACUAUGCCUGUUUGUAAAAACAAAAAACGAGCAAAUGAUGGAUUCAAAAUAUAUAAUGAAACACCAGUUUUUAGAUUGUAUAUAUUAUAGAGAUCAGGUAACUUUAAAACCAAAAAGAAUGUAACUCACACCUAUUCUUUUGUGGUGGACCAAAAUAAAAGGCAUGUGAAGGCA